UUAAGAUGUCAUAACUCACUACGGGGACUACGAGCAUUAGUGCUUAAAACCCAAAAAGCUUGGCGGUAUACCAAAUCCGGUUAGGGGAACUUGGCGGUUAAUUCGAUGAUCCUCGAAAUACUUUACUUUUUCUUUUCUUUAUAUACCGCCGUUGUCAAUCUAUCUUGAAGAGUGAAGAUUUAGGUGUUUAUAAUAUUUAUAUUAUUGAAUUCAGGUAAACGUGUAGGUUAUGAAAAAGGCUUAGCUGAGUUACAAUUGUUUAACAAAAUUUACGGAUAAUUUAAUGAAAAAUUAUAUUGAAGGCGUACUUAACAGUAAGAUUUUUUAGAGUGGAAAUCUGAAUGGCGUAAUUGGUAUGUGU
rnacentral:rRNA from 1 species